AAAAAAAUCUACGACGAUUAACCUACCAAGAAAGACCUACGCCCCGACCGCCGCCCGCGGGUCGCCCGCUCCCUCGUGACCCUGUUGCUCCCUCCUCGAUCCCGAUCUAGAUCGAGGGGACGAGGAGCUCCGGCCUCCUCCUCGCCCCGCUGCUGCGUCCGGCGCCGCCACGGCCUCUGGAGCACGGCGCGGACGAGGAAACCACCCACGGUGUGCGAGGGGUCUCUUCCCGUACGUCAAGGAAUCCCGCCUCACGUUUCCUCUUUCGGCAUCACGGGCCGCCGCCGCGCUCCCUUCCCCGGCCGCCCCGCGGGCUUCUAUCUCUCCCAGCUCCGCUGCCGCGCCCCGUCUUCCAUCUCUACAUGAAUCGCUGUUGUGGAAGCCAUACCCCACCGCGCCACCCGGCGGCCAUCCGGGUACGCCGUGUCCGGGAUGAUGGAGUUGAGUCGGCCAGGUCCCUGUUCCCGUCGGCAUCUUCUGCAUCGGGACCCGUGGGGGCAAGCUGCGCGCUGCUCAUCUGCGUCGAUGGCGUCGGCGCGGCCUUCCCCUGCCAAGACCGGCGGCUCCUUGGCUGGAUCCUCUCCUCUCUUCCACCUCUCGUCGUCGGGUGCUCCUUCCGUCGAUGUCAAGGUCUUAGUCUCGGUGAUUUCUCCUUGUAUGUUCUGUUGAUAUUGGUACCAUGUUCUGAAACUUGCUGCUUUGGAAAGGGUGUGGUUUCAGUUUUGAUGGUUCUGUUCAAUUCAAGGUGAUUCGGUAAUGUUCUGCGUACAAAGUGCUUCCUAUUUUUGCGGUGAAAAACAGCGUGUUGGAGAUAGUUCAGACAUUGAAAAUUUGACAGUAUUUUCUUCUUCUUUUGAUCCCGUUUCUUCAUAGUUAGUCAGACUCAAUAAGAAUUAGAGAAAGUUGGAAAGAGGUUUGUUAGGUCGGAACUGAUAUAUUUGCUUUCUCCUAGCAUCCUAUACAUAUCAUUUUAUAUGACGGGGAUUGUGCUAUAUUACCAUGUUAUAAAGGUAGAGCUAGGAUAUGUCUUUCUUGAACUAUGUGGACAUGCUCAUGGCAGAGGUGCUCUGUUUGCAUGUUUUUUGAAGUAAAGUGGAGAAACUAUUGAAUUGUGUCUUCAGAAAUAGUAUACUGUUGAUGUGUCUUCAGAUGCUGGUUACUGUGUUGGAAUCUACCAAUCCUUCUGAUCAUUGUGUUUUUCUGGGCCUGGAGGUCUACGCCAAACCCCAGGGCAGGGUGGUUCGAACACCAGUGCAGUACGGGCUGGGACGGACAUCAUCUUGUCUCUGUCUCUACUAAUUCAAAUUACACGUAACUUAUUCACUCAAAAAAAUUACAUGUAAUUUAUUCAGUUCUAGAGCAGCCAAGGGCGGGGCAUCGCACCGACGACAGUGAAUGCAAUGAGGGUGAGAUGCCGAUGUUCGUGCCGGCGCCGGAGACCGUGACCACAACUCGGGGCAAGGUGCUGGUGUCAGCGACGUCGCCCGUGUUGGCCCCUUGAGUUUUGGACCUGCCGCGCUCUGGUUCUAGAAGCUGCCAUUCCCAUCGAGCCCCUCCAGCAGCCUUCAGGAUGGAGAGGAGAAGACUGAAAAGGAUGUUGAUAUGAGGAAUUCAAGGAAGUGGAAGAGGAAGAAAGUUCUGAUGAUGGUGAUAAUUAGAAUAUCAAGUUUGACGACGAUGAUGAUUGGAACCAAGAGGAGGAAGUACCUGCCGCUAAAACCCACCAAAAAAUUAGCAAGAAAAUUGAUGGUGGGAGCUAGCACUGCCAGCAGUGCCUCCUUUAGGAUUUGAAAAUCGUUAAUCCUAUCUUCGCUUGCAUGUGACUGAUGGUGAUGCUACACAAGUUCUGAAGGCAGUGCCCUCCCCUUCAGCAGGAGAUCUUGCUGUUUCUGCAUGGCACAACUGGAUUAAAUAUGCUACAGCAAGCGAAGGAGUUCAACGAUGUUGUUGGAAUCAAAGGAUUCAUCCUAACGAAAUUAGACGGGACUGCUCGUGUUGGCUGUGUGUUACGGGCGAUUUCCAGUCCUUUAUUGUAACAGAUACAAAUUCCAGUCCUGGAUCUUAAAUAUACGACAACUAAACUUGCUGACCUGAAUCCUGUCUCAGGUGAGUGUUCAUAGAUGAAGUUGGAGUUCCAGCCAAGUUUGUUGGCGUCGGCGAAGGGGUGGAAGAUCUCAGCAGGUCUCAGCAGAGCCGUAUGAAUGGACAGCAGGCAAGCCAAGCACUCCCUGGGAAUCGCCGUGAUUCUGGAAUGGGUGGCGGGUCCCUGCCCCUACCACCCAUGAAGCUGACAACGAUCACGUGGCAUCGUGCGGCGGCUGCGGAGGAGAGGGAGGCAUGAGGGGGAGACUUGUAAGCGAGAACCCGCACGGAGGAGGAAGGAGACGCCUCAGGUGGAGAUGAUGACGAUGGCCGUGCCUCCAUCGCUGGCGGCGGUCAUGACGUGCAGCUGCAGGACUAGACAUCAGACAGGCGGAGUCGUUUCUGGGAGUUGCUUGCUUUGGUGGUGCUCUUGGGUUUACGAUUUCAAUAUAAUCCUAUGUCGGAGUGGAAGGUUAAUGUUAUUUCUCUGAUAUCACAAUGUAUCUUCUUGGCUCAGGUAUUGAGAAAGUAGCAUUGUCGCAGAUGUAUUUACUUAGUUUGAUAAGAUGGUGAAAAUAUCUGUAAUUCAGACAUGACAGGGAGUCAAAUUUAAAAGUAGCUUUUAUAGUCAUAGCUAGCUUACUUUGGUUUACUUGGUCCAUGUAGAGCUGGAAUCUCGGAGCUACACUUUCAACCGGCUUGCUUUGAAAAUCAAGUAAAAUGAAAAGAAUAGAGGUUUCAAUUGUAGCAACAGUUUAGUAGUGCUACAGAUCUGUGGAGCGGGCAAGAAUUAUUGGUCAACCUUAUAGCUUCUUAUAGCUUCUAUUUGUCAUCUAGAUGUUGUACAUCAUGUACAGAUCUGUUUAAGAAGGAUUGUUGUACAUCAGGUACAACCUCUUAUAGCUUCUAUUUGUCAUCUAGAUGUCUAAGAUGUUUGGUCUGAUGAUCUCCCUUCACAUUUGCUUGUUUAAACAAACAGGAAUUAAAGUUUACGGAAUGCGAGAAAAAUAUAUGCAUAACUGGAUCUGUGAUUCGGUGAUUUUUUGAAUGUGAAGGUGCAUUCUUACAAAUUUUCUGCUCAUGUUAGUUUAGCCCCUGGCUGCAUUAUACAGACAGCAUAUUUAGAUACUUUUGAUUAUAAAGAUCUCUGACAUGAUCAUAUUGUUAUUUUCAGCUUUUGGAUUGGCAUAUAAUGCUGACACCACAUGGACUCUGAAGGAAGUUGUGCUAACUGCUAAGCUUUCCCUGCUUUUCCAGCUUGUGUGUUUCAUUGAUGGAGGAGACCUGAGGGUAACAUCAAAGGAUGCCACCGGCAGCAGAGAUCAACAAGUUCUUCACCGUCGGGGAGAAGGUGGAGGUCGAAUGUUUCACCGUCAAGUGCAGACUUAUCAUUCAGCUACAGUCACUUGAUCAUCGUCACAGACACCGCCACACUAAGAAUUGUGCAGCUGCUCUACUUUCAGGUACAAAAUUGGACAUCAUGUGGGGUGUUAUGCUCAACCCCAGCCAGUUCAAAGGCAACACUGGUGGUGGUCCUCUGAGUAUGCAUAUGACAUAGAGUGGGCACUGCAAUAAUACAUGCUAAUAGGCGCAGUUUCAUCUCGAGCAGACGAGCACUGCAAUAGUACAUGCUACUCUCAGCGACUACUAACGUGAAGUUGCACUCAGGCUCUCGCAUAUACUAAAGAGUGCGGCUUUUGGACAUCCUUAGCACGAUAAGCGCAAACACGAAGAUUAGACGCCACCUUGGAUUCGUCUGCUUGUUAACUUGUGGUCAUUAACCACAUAUAUAUUGUGCUCUGCCCAUAUGCUCUAGAGCAAACAAGCAAUGAUAGUGGACUGCAGUUUCUGGGGUAUCACGCCCAUUAAACUGAUGGUGCAAGUUCAGCAGUGUCAUCAAUGGAACAAAUAAAGUCUUGAUAACUAGAAGGCCAUUCCAAUUCCAGUAUGGUAAAUAUUCGAUGGAUGACAAAGGGUCCCGAGGGAGCUCGUUUGUGCUGACAACACUCAGCAUAUUCUGCAAAUAUCCUCUGAGUUCACCAUCCAUGAGCUGCAAGUCAUGUUUUCUGGUGCUACAAGUAUAAAAAGGUUCAUGCUUUGUGGUAUUAACCUUUUGUGCUGUUGUUCCAAUACCUUUUGGAGUUUUGGCCUAAAAGGGCUCUUUGGAACACUGAGACAAAGAAAGCUAAAAUUUGGAGUAUGAUUAAGCAGUCCAGUCAGUGUUACUAAUCCCCACUUGAGCUUGACUGUAUUUCCUGGCUUAAUGUUUGAGAUUCUAUGUAUAGCAAAAAAUAUGUGCAGAAUUUCAUUUAAGUUUGAAAGCCAAUCGAUUCCAUGCUUUGAGCUGGUAAGUGGUCCCUGUUCUAAAUUGGUAUUUGGAUCCCAAACAUAACUCCCUAUGAACAUAUAAGGAAAUUUUAGUUGUGAAACGA